rnacentral:rRNA from 1 species
UUGCGGUUAAAAAGCUCGUAGUUGGAUUUCUGUCAGGGCGGCCGGUCCGCACUAUGUGCGUGUAUCUGGUUCGGUCUUGGCAUCCUCUUGGGGAUCGUUCGUGUGCUUGAUUGCAUGCGACGGAAUUCAAGACUUUUACUUUGAGGAAAUUAGAGUGUUCACGGCAAGCUAUCGCUUUGAAUACAUUAGCAUGGAAUAAUAAUAUAGGGCGUAAGUUCUAUCUUGUUGGUUCAUAGAAAAUACGCAAUGAUUAAUAGGGAUAAUUGGGGGCAUUCGUAUUAACGCGUCAGAGGUGGAAUUCUUAGAUUGCGUUACGACGAACUACUGCGAAAGCAUUUGCCAAGGAUGUUUUCAUUGAUCAAGAACGAAAGUAUGGGGAUCGAAGACGAUU